ensembl:snRNA U6 U6 spliceosomal RNA
GUGCUUGUUUCAGCAUCACACAUACCCAAACUAGAGUGAUACAGAGAAUAUUAGCAUGGCCUCUAUUGGAUGACAUUCAAAUUCGUGAAAUAUUCAUGUUUUUA